rnacentral:rRNA from 1 species
UACGUAGGGUCCAAGCGUUAUCCGGAAUUACUGGGCGUAAAGAGUGCGUAGGCGGUUUUUUAAGUUAGAUGUUAAAUCUCCAGGCUCAACUUGGGGGCUGCAUCUAAUACUGGAAGACUUGAGAGUGGAAGAGGCAAGCGGAAUUUCCGGUGGAGCGGUAAAAUGCGUAGAUAUCGGAAAGAACACCAAUGGCGAAGGCAGCUUGCUGGGCCAUUUCUGACGCUGAGGCACGAAAGCGUGGGGAG